AGUUUGAUCCUGGCUCAGGAUGAACGCUAGCUACAGGCUUAACACAUGCAAGUCGAGGGGCAGCAUGGUCUUAGCUUGCUAAGGCUGAUGGCGACCGGCGCACGGGUGAGUAACACGUAUCCAACCUGCCGUCUACUCUUGGACAGCCUUCUGAAAGGAAGAUUAAUACAAGAUGGCAUCAUGAGUCCGCAUGUUCACAUGAUUAAAGGUAUUCCGGUAGACGAUGGGGAUGCGUUCCAUUAGAUAGUAGGCGGGGUAACGGCCCACCUAGUCUUCGAUGGAUAGGGGUUCUGAGAGGAAGGUCCCCCACAUUGGAACUGAGACACGGUCCAAACUCCUACGGGAGGCAGCAGUGAGGAAUAUUGGUCAAUGGGCGCAGGCCUGAACCAGCCAAGUAGCGUGAAGGAUGACUGCCCUAUGGGUUGUAAACUUCUUUUAUAAAGGAAUAAAGUCGGGUAUGGAUACCCGUUUGCAUGUACUUUAUGAAUAAGGAUCGGCUAACUCCGUGCCAGCAGCCGCGGUAAUACGGAGGAUCCGAGCGUUAUCCGGAUUUAUUGGGUUUAAAGGGAGCGUAGAUGGAUGUUUAAGUCAGUUGUGAAAGUUUGCGGCUCAACCGUAAAAUUGCAGUUGAUACUGGAUAUCUUGAGUGCAGUUGAGGCAGGCGGAAUUCGUGGUGUAGCGGUGAAAUGCUUAGAUAUCACGAAGAACUCCGAUUGCGAAGGCAGCCUGCUAAGCUGCAACUGACAUUGAGGCUCGAAAGUGUGGGUAUCAAACAGGAUUAGAUACCCUGGUAGUCCACACGGUAAACGAUGAAUACUCGCUGUUUGCGAUAUACUGCAAGCGGCCAAGCGAAAGCGUUAAGUAUUCCACCUGGGGAGUACGCCGGCAACGGUGAAACUCAAAGGAAUUGACGGGGGCCCGCACAAGCGGAGGAACAUGUGGUUUAAUUCGAUGAUACGCGAGGAACCUUACCCGGGCUUAAAUUGCAGAUGAAUUACGGUGAAAGCCGUAAGCCGCAAGGCAUCUGUGAAGGUGCUGCAUGGUUGUCGUCAGCUCGUGCCGUGAGGUGUCGGCUUAAGUGCCAUAACGAGCGCAACCCUUGUUGUCAGUUACUAACAGGAUUUGCUGAGGACUCUGACAAGACUGCCAUCGUAAGAUGUGAGGAAGGUGG
rnacentral:rRNA from 1 species